rnacentral:rRNA from 1 species
UACGGGGGGGGCGAGCGUUGUUCGGAAUUACUGGGCGUAAAGGGCGCGUAGGCGGUUCGCUAAGUUGGAUGUGAAAACUCUGGGCUCAACCCAGAGCCUGCAUCCAAAACUGGCGGGCUAGAGUUCUGGAGGGGGUAGCGGAAUUCCUGGUGUAGCGGUGAAAUGCGUAGAUAUCAGGAGGAACACCGGUGGCGAAGGCGGCGACCUGGGUCGAUACUGACACUGAGGUGCGAAAGCGUGGGGAGCAAACAGG